rnacentral:rRNA from 1 species
UUAAGUCCCGUAACGAGCGCAACCCCUGUCCCUUUAGUUACAAGUGGUCUAAGGGGGACUGCCGGCGGUAAGCCGGAGGAAGGUGGGGAUGACGUCAAGUCAGCAUGGCCCUUAUGUCCAGGGCUACACACACGCUACAAUGGCCAGUACAACGGGCAGCGAAACCGCGAGGUGGAGCGAAUCUCAGCAAAGCUGGUCAUAGUUCGGAUUGCAGGCUGCAACUCGCCUGCAUGAAGCUGGAGUUGCUAGUAACCGCGCGUCAGCUAUAGUGCGGUGAAUACGUUCCCGGGCUU